rnacentral:rRNA from 1 species
UGGGGAAUUUUGGACAAUGGGGGCAACCCUGAUCCAGCAAUGCCGCGUGUGUGAGGAAGGUCUUCGGGUUGUAAAGCACUUUUGUACGGGAAGAAAUCCUUUUCGAUAAUACCUAAGUGGGAUGACGGUACCGGUAGAAUAAGCACCGGCUAACUACGUGCCAGCAGCCGCGGUAAUACGUAGGGUGCGAGCGUUCAUCGGAAUUACUGGGCGUAAAGCGUGCGCAGGCGGGGAUGUAAGACCGAGGUGAAAUCCCCGGGCUUAACCUGGGAACUGCAUUGGUGACUGCAUCGCUUGAGUAGGGCAGAGAGGGGUAGAAUUCCACGUGUAGCAGUGAAAUGCGUAGAGAUGUGGAGGAAUACCGGUGGCGAAGGCAGCCCCCUGGGCCAAUACUGACGCUCAUGCACGAAAGCGUGGGGAGCAAACAGG